rnacentral:SRP_RNA from 1 species
GCUGGGCGUGGUGGCCCACGCCUGUAAUCCCAGCACUUUGGGAGGCUGAGGUGGGUGGAUCACCUGAGGUCAGGAGUUCAAGAUCAGCCUGACCUGCAUAGUGAAACCCCAUCUCUA